GUGGUCUUUUCAUGGUCACAUCUACUAAUAGGCUCCAUCCAUGAGGGAAUACCUGUAACACCUGGAAAGUGUGGGUUGCAUUUUUAAGUACUCGGAGCACUUAACAGGAAAUUCUUUGCAGAGCAGCAAUAGCUGAGGCAUUGGCAUGCAAAUACUUGCAAAGUGAAAAUGGAUACACUUCCACAGCUCCUGUCCCUGGCCUCUGGAGGACAGCCUGCCAACCGUGUGUGCAUGUCACUUUGGCACCAAGACAAAUGUUCCCUGGAGCAUAGACUGAAACCACCAAACUGAUAUCACAUGGGAUGCCAGCCAAAGCCUGACCUUGCUCUCUGUAGCUGGAGGCAAACGACGCCAAGAUAGAGAAGCCCAAAUUUCAAGGCAGUACCUUGAAGAAGGAAUACCCAGAGGAGCUGUCUAACCCACACAAUAUGACUAGUUACAAAGAGAGGAAGACAGAGAGAAAGAGAGAAGUCUUCCAUCCGCUGAUUCACUCCCCAAAUGGCUGCAAUGGCCGGAGCUGAGCUGAUCUGAACUGAAUAUCGCUAAAGGAAUCCUCCACAACAACCAUUAGAUUAAGAGACUAGUCUGUUUUCUCUCUGACAUUGAGUCACAGUUUUAAAGAGUCUUUCUUGUGCCAAGAAGUCAUACCAAAAAAUCCCACAAUAUUUAAAGGCAAGGUAGAGAGCAGAGAAAAUAAUCUUCCUCAUUGUUCAGUGCACCUGGCCUCAAUCCAUUCAUUAAGCUUUAUUCAGUCAUCAUCUUCUUCUUAUAAUAUUUAAAACCUAUUUUCCUAAAAUUUUUAAACUUUAUCUCUUAAGUGAGAUUGGUCAGGAGUUUUUUUCUUUGGACACUAUUUCAGCCAAUAUUUUCCAGAAUCCUUGGGGGGUUGUCCCUGAAGAGUUUUCCAGAUAGACUGUAAAAGCACUUAGGGUCUUUGUUCUACUAUUCUGCCCUGAGGGAAACUCUAGAACCUUCUGUUGUUUCAGAUUGGGAUCCAGUAGGUUUUUUGGCAUAGAUGUUUCAAGAAACAUAGCUAGAAUAUAGGGAGUCACAAGGUUUAAUAUUGCUGUAUACCAAAAAUAACUCUUAGCUAAAUCCCUUCAGUUGGAGUUUUGUCUCUGUAUUGGUUGAUUUUGUAUGUCAGAUUGGCUAAGCUAUAGGGUCCACCUAUAUGAUCAGAUACCAGUGUAGACAUUAAUGUGAACGUAUUCUUAAGAUAUGAUUAACACUUACAUAGGAAGACUUUAACAAAGCCCCAAUAAUCUGUGUGAGCUUCAUCCAGUAAGUUGAAAGUCUUAAGAGCAAGGACUGAAGUUUUCCCAAGAAAAAGCAUUUCUGCCUGGAGACUGCACCUGGAAUCCUAGACUAAAUUUCCGGACUGCCGACAUCAGACUCAAGACAGGCAAACAGCUCUUCCCUGGAUUCCUUGCCUGCUGCUGUCCUCUCUAGAUAAGUCCUUAAAAUCAACCCAUCAAUCAAAAAACUCCAUUCCUACUGAAUCUGUUCAUCUGGAGAAAUCUGACUAACCUUAUACACUAUUUAAAUAAAAGUAAUAGCAAAACAUGCUCUUUUAACCACUUGGCUUCUAGAAUAAACCUGGGUUUUGAGCCAAGUUUGAAUAAUGCAAUGAAGUGAUUAAAGAACUAAAGUGAUUAAAUAACUUUGUUAUUUUGCCUACUUGGUUCCAGAUAACCUAUUUGAUAAAUACAUGCAGGGGUACUUCAAAAAGUUCAUGGCUAUCAUUAGGCCAAGUGAAAUAAGCCAGACUCAGAAAGACAAAUGUCACAUAUUUUCUUUCAUGUGUGGAAGUUACUAUAGAGAGCAUAAAAAUUGUGUGGAUGUCAUAUCAUUUGGAACAUAAUUAUAGAUAUUACUUCACUGAAUUAUACACAUACAUGACAAUACACACUUCUUUCCCACAUUAUGAUCUUGUCAUGGAUCCUUCAUUUUGAGAUAUUAAUUUUGCAAUCAAUCUCCUAAUUAAUUUUCAAGAAAAAAUAGUAUAUAUGUGUACACAUAUAAUGUUCAGAUAUGAGAUGAAUGUGACAAAAUUGUUAAAAAGUUAAGGGAAAUGGAAUUAAAAGGUAAGUGUAUUUCAGCACCAAAAAAUUUGAAAUCCACAGAUUUUUCAUAUCAUGCAUUUUUCAUGACCCCUCAUGUGCUUGCAUUUCAAAAAACUUUCCCCACCAAAGUCAACCUCUUUUAAUUCCAUUUUCACAGACGUUAUGAAGUAUGUUCAUACAUUAUUUUUGCUGGUCAAUCUGGUUAGAAAAAUUCCCUGAGAAUUUGUCAAGUGUGUAGACUUUUUCCAUGUCUGAAACUAUGGAUGGUUGCGUGGCUAUUAUUGGAAUUGACUGAGUUACUCCAGUUAGGAUUUGCUUUUGGAUAUAUCAGACAGAAGUUCUCAUGCUUACUUUGAAAUUUUAUCUGUUUCUAUUAAUUUUCUACUAUGUAAGUAUUUUAUUUAUUUAAUUCACAGGCUUUUAUUGGGGUUCCACUCCCGGGCGAGGUUCCCCGGUCCCAACAGAGCAACAGAGCGGGGGCCCGGGGAAGUCGCGCGUCAGAGAUUGGGAGAGCUCCUUUUAUAGAUUCAGGGCAUUGGCGUUAACGGUUGAGGCGGGUCUGAUCCUCUUGGUUGACCUUUAGGCACCCGCAGGGACCUUGGCAAGGACUUUCUUCCCCGGAAGUAGGCCUCUCCAUUCCCGGAAGUGUAGGCCUUCCCUCCUUGUGGAUCCCAAAGCUACCAUCCUGACCUUUUGGUGAUAGGAAAGGGGGCAACGAUGAGUCUCUCUGGCUACUUCCUGCUGACUGGGGAUGUCGUCUCUAUGUAAGUAUUUUAAAAUGAAAUGAAAGGCAUCUAACUUACUCCUCAUGUAGGAUCUCUGUAUUUAAUGUGCUGUACAUUGUGAUUUAAUGCUAUACCUAGUACUCAAACAGUAUUUUACACUUUGUGUUUCUGUGUGGGUGCAAACUAUUGAAAUCUUUACUUAAUAUACACUAAAUUGAUCUUCUGUAUAUAAAGAUAAUUGAAAAUGAAUCUUGAUGUGAUUGGAAGGGGAGAGGGAGCAGAGAGGGGAGGGUUGCGGGUGGGAGGGAGGUUAUGGGUUGGAAAAAGACAUUGUAAUCCAUAAGCUGUACUUUGGAAAUUUAUAUUUACUAAAUAAAAGAUAAAAAAAAGAAAUGAAAGGCAUCUAAUGGCCUCUUCAACGUGACCCUCCCCACCACCAUAGCUCACACUGCCAGUUUGCAGUGAAAAGGACACAGAUGUUGGAGGGGGGCUUUAAACAUCACCUCUCCAGUCUUCUGGAUACAUCCAUUAAUGGAGUCAACCUACAGGAUCAAUAUAGUUAGUGAUAGUUCAUCAUGGACAAGGCACUCUGUUCUGUACUCAUUCAUUAUGGGAUGUCUCCUUGGAGAAUGUAGUAUUGUAGGGGGCAUUGUCUAUAAUGUGAAGCAGAAUGUGAUUCAUUCUUAAAAAAGAAAAGCAAAUAACCCAGCUAACCAAACAAAAACACCUGAGUCUGUGUAACUGUAAGUGAUGAAGCUGUCCCUUCCAGCCCAGUGGUCUGCUGAGGACAGAGUCCUCCAGAGGAUAGAAUGUGGCAUAUAAGGGAAGUAGGAUGUUGGUCAGUGAUGGGGUGUAAUAAUUGGCAGAAGCCAUGCAGUAGAGGGAGAGCAUGAAGAUGAAAAUGGUCAGGGUACACAGGCUGGUUUAGGUGGCCUCGCGCUUCCUGUCAAUGUGGUUAAUCUUAAUGUGUGCCUACAAGGAAGAGAUCUGGGAAUAGUGACUUGCCCCAAAUGGUAGAGUUAAAAACAUACCAGGGGAUUCCAAUUCAAUCCCAUCAAGGUGGCAUGUACCAAUGCCAUCUCACUAUUCCAAGUGAUCAAUUUCAGUUCACAAUUGAUCAUAAUGAAAGGACUAAGAGUCAAAGGGAGCACAUAAACAAGUCUAGUACCUGCUAACACUAACCGAUGGAAUAAAUAAAGGGGAGAGUGAUCCAACAUGGGAAGCGAGAUACUCAGCAGACUCAUAGAAUGGCAGAUGUCCUAAAUAGCACUCUGGCCUCAGAAUCAGCCCUAAAGGCAUUCGGAUCUGGCUGAAAAGCCCAUGAGAGUAUUUCAGGCAUGGAAAGCCAAGACACUCUGGCAAAAGAUCUCUGUGAGUGAGAUCCCAGUGGAAAGAACAGGUCUUCAAAGAAGGAGGUACCUUUCUCUGAAGGGAGGAGAGAACCUCCACUUUGACUAUGACCUUGUCUAAACAAGAUAAGAAUCGGAGAACUCAGAGGGCUUCCAUAGCCUUGGAAACUCAUGACCGGAGCAUAGGGAGACUACUGAUGCAUAGACAGGAGUGUCAAUUGGUAAAGUCAACAACGGGAGUCACUGUGCACUUACUCCUCAUGUAGGAUCUCUGUCCUUAAUGUGCUGUGUAUUGAGAUUUAAUGCUAUAACGAGUACUCAAACAAUAUAUUUCACUUUGUGUUUUUAUGGGGGUGCAAACUGUUGAAAUCUUUACCUAAUGUAUACUAAACUGAUCCUCUGUAAAAAAAAAAAAAAAAGAAAUUGUCAACUCCCAACUUGACUCUCACUGGGAUUAAACAUGACAAUAGGUCUGAUCUGAUUUCAUCAUCAUUUAAAAAAAAUCAUCUAUUAUUUUUCACUUUUUGUUUUUGUGUGAGCAAACUGUUGAAAUCCUUACUUAAUGUAUACUAAGCUGAUCUUCUGUAUAUUAAGAUAAUCGAAAAUGAAUCUUGAUGUGAAUGGAAGGGGAGAGGGAGUGGGAAAGGGGAGUGUAGUGGGUGGGAGGGACGGUAUGUGGGGGAAGCCAUUGUAAUCCAUAAAUCGUACUUUGGAAAUUUAUAUUCAUUAAAUAAAAGUUAAAAAAAAUAAAAAAAAAUAAAAAAAGUGGUAAACCAUUGAAAUGACUGUAAUUCAUGGCAAAGAAAUUCAGUACGAUUCCAUUGGCUUCUUAUUAAUUUUUGGAAGGCAUCUUGACUGUGACAAGAAGGGUGGAGGAGGGCCAGGGAGCAGAGGACUAAAGUUCCAAGGGGAUUGAUUGGAAAGCAUUGGUGAGUCAUUUAAAAGUUUUAUCUGGGGAAGUUCUGCUUGUUUUACAAACCUCCCUCACUGCUACUGAGCACACUGCCUCCAACAUCUUUGCUGGAAAAGUCUGAUUUUAACAUUAAGGAACUGAUUCCCUAAAAUUGGACCAUUCCCCAUCCAAAUGGAAUCUUGCCCUUGUACAGAAACAUGUCCACAGGGAUAAACCUGACCAGGAAUGGGAGGGCCAUGUGGGAAGAAGACAUGACAAGGCCCCGGGUGAAGGAGUUGCCUUGAAUGAAUGGUAACAGAGAGGAUGCACUGUGUUUUCCUGUUUGGGAGGUUUAAUUCUUCACGGUUUGCUUGGCUGUCAGAACACUUCACAUUUUUAUUUGUGAACAUACAUGGUGAUCAUCCUUAAGACAAAAAAAAAAUCUGAUGGCAGGUCCCUUGGUGCCGUUGUUCAGAACAGAUGUUGCAAUCAGAGCUGGGCCUUCAAUUCUCACCUCUGAGAUGUUGUAAAUUGCAUAAAGAAGCAUCUCUGCUCCCCCUUUCAUGUUUCACAUACCACUCAUGGUGGUAACCGUGGAGAAAAAAGUUGAAAUUGACAAACUUAACCAAGUUGUUGCUCACCAGGACAGAGCCGUUGUUUGUGUUGAUCCAGUCACCCACAGCUCAUGUAACAAGCAAAAUACAUAAAUUUAACUCAACAGGGGAAUCUAAAAGGGAGCCUCACACACUUGGAUCAUCAGCAUGGAACAGCAAUGUGGAAGCAUGAGGUUCAGGAAAGCGUAAACAUUCCUUUUCACAUUGAGGAACAAUACGAGAGUGACAGAAGCAGAAGCAGUGUGGAGUAGCCUGAACACUGUCUCUCCACUUAGAGAGCAAAAGGGGUUUUCUCUUAGAUGGAAAUGAUGUUCCAGCUUGUCCCACUUCUCAUCACAGCAUCUCCUCUCCAGCAUCCCUGACAUGGGGCUAUCUCACCUUUCCUUGAACUCUUCUGCAGACUGAAGUUUGUGCAUUCCAACUUGUUGUUUGGGCUUUGUUGAACCUAGCCUAAGUCUGGAUAGUACGGUGAAAAUUGAAUAAACAGCCACAGUGACUUCAGGAAGUUUUUUUUUAUGCAAACAUCUGUUUCUUGAAUUUGGCUAUGGCUAGACCUUGGAGAAGGGAGAAUACCAACAGAUUAAAUAAGAUCUAGAAGAUACUGCCUCAUUCUUCUUUUCUGUUUUAGGAAUACAAAGUCUGUCUCCUUUCACCAUUAUAGUGGAAAGAAACCCUUUCCAAGUUUCCUCCAAUGCUGGGUUUAUGAUGAUGAAAUCAUGUGGAUGCUUUUUCUGGUAUUUUUCUGCACUACAAAUGUAAUCUGCUUUGAAAAAAGUUCCCUGCAUGCAUAUCCAAAUAAAAAUUUAGAGUAAAGAUGAGUAGAGCAAUCAACAAAUGGUCAUCAAACACGUACGCUUGUCUAGCACUGGGCAAUAUGCUAACGUGUAUUGAGAAGUGUAGGAGAGUGAGGCCUUGUAUUUCAUGAAAUUUGGAAUUUGUUAGGAAGAUUGGUAAGCAUUAAAGACUAAUAAAAGACAAGUUAUGGUUUGGGAAUAUAGGACCCAAUCAUAAUAGCUGUAGUAUUUGUAACAGGAGAAGAUCGGGUUGACAGUUGAAGCUGGAGAAGACUUCCAAUAGGAAGUGUGAAUGAUGCAGGAUCUAAGGUGCUGAGAAGCUCUGAGCAGCCAGAUCCCAGGCAGGAAACAUUUAUAGUGGGGCAAAGUGUACGAGCAACCAGCAAGAGUUAUUUAGUCAAUAUAUUAUCUUCCUGCCAAGAGUUCAUUGUGUGAGCACAUUUUUUUUUAUCCCCAUUUAUCAAUGGGGAGAUGGACCUGGUAACAGAUGAGUAAUGAUAAUAACAAGGAUGACUGACAUCUGUUUAGCACUCACUAUAUUCCAGGAGUUGUUCCAGGAUUUUUAUGUAUAUUAAAUUAUUUAUGCCUCAUAACAACCCUACUAGAUAAGUACUAGUCUUAGGCGCCAGUUAAGCAUGAAGCAGCUGAAACAGAGAAGUUAAGUAACUAGCCAAGGCACACACAGACAGGCCCCACUAUAUCCACAGCCCACACUUAUGACACACUAUCAAUGUAUGACAGGAGCAGAAGUGUGCUGAGCAAAAUGGCACUGACCUUGUAGGAGGGAUGAAAUAUCAAAGCGGAUAUCAAAGUGGGGGGGACAUGUGUGUAUGACAGGUGAAAAGGGCAGACAGUCAUUAUUCUCAUUCUCAAUUUUCUGAUUUUGAGAGCCCAUAGUGAGUCCAAAAUGUAGGUCUGAACACCAAAAUGCAAGCUAUUUCAGGACAUCACCAUUCCAGAAAAUACACCGUCUAUCCGUUCAAGACCAAAGAAAACCCCUCCAAAUGUUGAUCCCAAGACUUCCAAUCAUCCCAGCCUCCCAAUGGGUCCAGGACUGCUGGAGGAGAAAGAUGCAAAGGUUGGAAGAGAUCUCCUCAACAUCUCCUAAAACCCUUCCUUAGGGGCUGUUGUUGUGGCACAAUGGGUUAAGCCAACACUGGCAUCCCAUAUGAGUGUCAGUUCGAGACUCAGCUGGUCCACUUCUGAUCUAGCUCCCUGCUAAUGUGCCUGGGAAUGCAGCAGAUGAUGGUUCAAGUAUUGGGGCCCCUGUCACCCAUGUAGGAGACUCAAACAGAGUUCCUGCCCCUGGCUCCGGGCUUUAGCUUGGCCCAGCCUCAUUGGAUGUGACCAUUUGGGGCAUGAACCAGCGUAUGAAAUAGUCUAUCUGCAAUUCUAUCUAUAUCUGUAAUUCUGCCUUUUAAACAAAUCUCUCUCUUUUUAAAAAUUUCUUAGGUCUCUGUUUUUAGCUCCUAUAGAAAUGUGAUUCUCAGUUUUUUUUUUUUAUUUACUUACUUAUUUAUAUUGUUUGAAAAGCACAGGGACUCACAGAGAUAGAAACCAAGACAGACAGAGAUCUGGUUCACUCCAUUCCUGAUUUAUUCCCCAAAUGCCCAUAAGAGCAAGGGGUGGGGCUGACAUUGUGGUGUAGCAGGUUAAGCUGCCAUCUACAGAGCUGGCAUUCCACAUUGGUGCCAGUUCCUGUCCAGGCUGUUUCAUUUCCAAUCCAGCUCUGUGCUAAUGGCUUAGGAAAGCAGCAGAAGAUCGCCCAAGUGCUUGAACCCCUGUACCUACAUGGGAGACCCAGAUGAAACUCCUGGUUCCUAGCUUCAGUCUGGCCUAGCCCUGGCUAUUGCAGCCAUUUGGAGAGUGAACCAGAGGAUGGAAGACUUCUCUCUCUGCCUCUCCCUCUCCCUCUCUGUAACUUCACCUUUCAAAUAAAUAAAAUAAAUAUUUUUUUAAUUAAAAAAGGCAGGGAGCUGAGCCAGGACAAAGCCAGCAGUCCAGAAGUCAAUCUGGGUCUCUCAUGAGGGUGACGGGGACCCAAGUACUUGUGCCAUCAUCUCCUGCCUCCCAGAGUUCACAUUAUCAGGAAACUUGAAUCAGAAGUGGAGCUGGGACUUGAACCCAGGCACUCUGAUAGGGGUUGUGGAGUCUCAAGCAGCAUCUUAACCAAAUGCCCACUCGAUUACAGUGAUUUGAAACAUAGACUUUUAGUAGAAGAAUCAAUUUUUCUCAAACAAGUCCUUAGUGUCUCAAUAAAUAAGAUAAAAGGUGAGCUAAUGUGAGGAAAUAUGGUGCCAUAAAAGCAAGAGUUCCACUCCUGGCUUAGCUUUUGCUUCAGCCUCCACUCGAGAUCCCCAAGCAGCCCUAGAUAAUCAGGGAUGCAAAGCCUACUAUGAAAGCUUUCACAACCCUCCAACAGGAUGACUGUAGCAGAAUACCCAGCUAGCCAAUGGCUUCAAUAGGUAAGGUCUUAUUUUUCUUACAAGAACAGGGGUCCUGAAGGUAAUGAGCUUCUAGAAUUGGUUCAAUGGUUCAGAGAUCUCAGUGUCAAGGUCUUUUUGAUUUUCUUGCUUUUUGCUUCAUGAUCUACAAAAGGCUAUUUCAACCCCACAAUCCCAUUUUUGCUCAGGGCAAGAAGAUAGGGCAGUGCCAGCCAUAUCUGUCUCCUCAAGUCAAGAAAAUAAAGGCUUCUUUUGAAAACUUCUGGAUGACUUCUGCUCAGGUCUGACUGGCCUGAAGUGUGUCACAUGGUUGCAUGCAACCCUAAGCUGCAAAGCACUCUGGGAAAACAAAUAUUUAGUUAGCCAUAUUGCCACUGGAACGAAUACUGGGGUUCUGUUCUCAAGGAGGAAUGUAGGUGUGGGUAUGGAAGAGCUCACUCACAGUGUACACCAUGGCCUACUUAAUCUCUCUAUGUUGUGCAUGAAGGGACACAUCACAUUUUAAGGUUCCAUGAUAGAAAGUGCACAUCAAAUUAAUUUACACUGAGAAACUAAUGGCUUCCCUUUUGGUGGGUUCCUCAGGUUGGCGUAAAAAUGGUGCUGAAAAGAGAAAGAGGUGUCAAGGAAACAACAGAAAAGCAUCAAAGAUGCAUUACUGGUAACUCAUGGGAAUCUCCAUGCAAUUUUGGUCAGGUGCACACAUCUAGUUAGGGUACCGCGUUCUCUGGAACAAUGGCUCUUUAUGCAGCGUGUUAAAGUAUUUUGUCUCGAGUGUAAGCAGUAUAGCUUGUUCAACCAAAUACAUUCUCCUGAGUAUCCAGAGAAUGGAUUUGCUAAAGUACAACUGAACUUAAUAGGUACAUGACAAAAAAGAGGGAGAAGUUAACUCAGUAAAAUGAGUUCCAAAGCACAUACACACACACCCUCAACUGCAAAGAUAAAAACCAAUCAAGGGUGCCUGCUCUAUUUAUGGAUUUCUGCUACAAAAUGGAUUUUGCUUCCGUGUCUUCCCCCUGCCUCUCUUACAGGUAGUCAGGGGACAGUUCAUCUUGUCUGUCUUUGGUACAGUUAUGGAACUUUUAAGGGGAGACCAGGAGUCUGUGUGGGGACUUGUCCUAAAAGACAGAACAAAAAGAAGUUAUUAAUCACGUUCCCCUUUGCAUAUUUACUGUUUGCCUUCUGAAGAGAAUAUUAGUCUGCUAAGAGAUGCAUAAUUAGGAGCCACGCCAGAUGGAUGAUCAAUGUGGUUUUAAUUUUUUAUAAGGAGAGAAUAGAGGUAUAGCUUGGAGUUUUUAUUUUAAGAAGAUACUUCAGUUCUGUGUAGUUAAACACAAAUAUCUUGCAUUAGAGGGUUAGUGUCUUCCAUGCAAUGAUGUCAAAUAUGUUCUUGAAGCAGCCCUUCUAUUUUUAAACCACAACCCCAGUGGAACAGAAAAGCUGACGGGGCCUACCAGCUGGAAGGGGAAAGCUAACGAGAAGCAGAGCUGGAGUGUGCACUGCCUGCGCUGCAUUGAAUCAUGUCAUCGUCAUUACAAACCAACCACAGGCACCACCGCUUCCCUGCCCCUGGUUGCCCAUCGGUUGAGAGGCAAUUGUUCUCUCCACACUCAGGCUGGACAGGAAUAUAAAGGAGAGCUUUCUGAAGUCUUAGUGAAGCAAAGUGCGUGAAAUCUUCAUCCAGCGUUGGCUGAUUGGGAUUGGUGGCUGAGAUCACCUUAGAGGCCCAGGAAGCAAGACAGAGGCCUGGGGGCAGUGCUCUUGGACCCCUUGGUCCUGACACUUUAGAGAACUAUGAAAUCAACCCAGACGGCUCUGACCACAUAUAAUGUCUAGGCCUAAUAGAGCGGCAUUCUGAAACAGAAUUUUAAAAAAUACAAGAGUGAGUCACAGUCAGUAAGGAUAAGUAUUAUUUAUGCAGUUUUUGUUUCAGUAACAUCCAUGUCCCCAUGUAAGUUGUAUUUCUUUACCUAGAUCACAGUCAAAAAAGUCUAAAACACUGUUGGAGGGUUGAGUGUGACA